rnacentral:lncRNA from 1 species
UUUCCCUUUCGGGAACCCCCUUAAGAUCGAAUAGAAAACUUGGAGCUUUUAUUUAAACAAAUUUACUAAACCAAAAUUUUUUACGCCCAGACUCUCAUCUAUUAUAUACUACAAGUAAAGGAGAAACUUCGGUCAGGUUUACGGAUUAUAAUUACACAACUAAAAGAAAUUUAGACGAUGAUGAAACAGAGAGUAAUAUCAAAACAGAAAGCGAGUUUAUGAAUAUAGAAGUCCUACAAGAAGGAUAUGAAGUAGACAUGGCCAUAAAAAAGGCUGGAAACUUAGCAGAAGAAUAUAAUUAUAUAACUUUUAAAUGUAAAGGAUGUCAAAAGGACGACAUGAAAAUAGAAGAAUGUAUAGAACAUUUUAAAAACUGAUUAGAGAGAAGUGAUAAUUUAGGAUAUAGAAAUAACAAAUCAGUCCUUGAAAGAAAAGAUGAAGACACAGUCUCUAUAUUAAGUUCUACCAUCAGUUAUAAAGAACUAGCAGAAUUAGAACCAACUAGCUCCUCAAGUGCUAGCCCAUUCCAACAAACAAACCCUAAUCCCC